rnacentral:tRNA from 1 species
CGCGGGGUAGAGCAGAAGGUCAGCUCGGCGGUUCCAUAAACCGCAGGUCGCAGGUUCGAAUCCUGCCCCCGCUACCA